rnacentral:lncRNA from 1 species
UAUAUGUGUAUUUUUUGUGUGUUUGAGAGAGAGAAAAAGAAGGAAAAGUUUGUGUGUAUUUUUUUAUUCUUGAGAGAGGAGAGAAAGAAGAACAUAAUGUGUGUAUGAUUAAAAAAUGUGCUUAUGUAUUUGUGUAUUUUGGGGAGAGAAAAUGAAAAAUGAGGAAAGAUUUUUUCUUGUGUUUUUUGUGUAUGUAUUUGAGAGAGAGAAAAAAUAUGUGUGGGUGUAUGAAAACCAUGACCAGUAAGAAAAUAUGAAUAGCAACAUCACUUGAGAAUAUAUAUAUAUAUAUAAUGUAACCAAAAUAAUCCCUAGUAAAAAUGGUGGAAUUUCACCAAAAUAGGGAGCAAAUAUUUAAUUUAUUUUUAUGUGUAUAUGUGUAUUUUUUGUGUGUUUGAGAGAGAGAAAAAGAAGGAAAAGUUUGUGUGUAUUUUUUUAUUCUUGAGAGAGGAGAGAAAGAAGAACAUAAUGUGUGUAUGAUUAAAAAAUGUGCUUAUGUAUUUGUGUAUUUUGGGGAGAGAAAAUGAAAAAUGAGGAAAGAUUUUUUCUUGUGUUUUUUGUGUAUGUAUUUGAGAGAGAGAAAAAAUAUGUGUGGGUGUAUGAAAAUGUGUGUGUAGAGAG